rnacentral:rRNA from 1 species
GAUCAUGGCUCAGGAUGAACGCUAGCGACAGGCUUAACACAUGCAAGUCGAGGGGCAGCAUGAUUUGUAGCAAUACAGAUUGAUGGCGACCGGCGCACGGGUGAGUAACGCGUAUGCAACUUACCUAUCAGAGGGGGAUAGCCCGGCGAAAGUCGGAUUAAUACCCCAUAAAACAGGGGUCCCGCAUGGGAAUAUUUGUUAAAGAUUCAUCGCUGAUAGAUAGGCAUGUCCG